AGAAUUUGUCAUUGAGCUGAUGGAAAAUGUGUCGGCACUCGGCUUCGUUUCAACCAGGAGGAAGAUUGGCAGCAUCAAUAGACGUUCAUCUUAAUGUCAACUGUCGAAAGGAUUUAUUGUGAAGAAGAAUUUGUCAUUGAGCUGAUGGAAAAUGUGUCGGCACUCGGCUUCGUUUCAACCAGGAGGAAGAUUGGCAGCAUCAAUAGACGUUCAUCUUAAUGUCAACUGUUGAAAGGAUUUGUUUUGCAUUAUAAUAUAAGUUUAAAAUACAUUUAAUCUGCAUAUUAUUUGAAGUUUUUCAGGAACAGAACAUUUAACUAGAUCAUGGACGACUAUCCACCGACGAAGAAUUUGUCAUACAGCUGAUGGGAAAUGUGUCGGCACACGGCUUCGUUUCAACACUGAGGACGUCUAGCAGCAGCAAAAAGAUAUUCAACUGACGAUAAUCAACUGUCGAAAGGAUUUGUUGUGAAGAAGAAUUUGUCAUUGAGCUGAUGGAAAAUGUGUCGGCACUCGGCUGUAUAUCAACACAGAGGACGUCUAGCAGCAGCAAAAAGAUAUUCAACUGACGAUAAUCAACUGUCGAAAGGAU